UUCAACCACAAGGUUAAGGACAGAAAGACAACAAGCUGAUGAGCUGCAAUGUUUAAAUCAGGAUCAAUUAGCCUUCUGUUGAUGAUGCUCCUUUUUGGGAGUGGAAACUUCUUAACAAUGAAGAAAGGGUUUGCUGCUGGCCGUACAAAUGUCACUGAGUCGUGCGCUAUGCCUAAGUCAUGUAAAGUGUACGGCUUCACUGACUGGUAUAAAGCAGGCAGUUACUUUGUGAAAUAC